AGGGCGGGGGCCGGGGCACGAGCAGUCGCUGCCCUGACUGGAAGCGACCGCGACAGGCGGGAGCGAGGGCUGGGGCCAACGCGCGCGGCUCCCUCUGGUCCUUGCUCGGCCGCAGUCAGCCACGUCAACCGCCGUACCGGCAGGUGCUUCUCAGACCUCGGUCGAGGCUGUGCUCCCCGGGCUGUUAACGGCUUCACCGCCUACCUCUCGUGCGACGCGGGCUUAACGCAUUCUUCUCGCCUCCAGCCUGCAGCUCCGGUUCCUCCCAGUCCGCCGGACGUUUAUCUGAAGAGCUGAAGCACCAUGCACCAGCGGCUCACUGGCAGAUGUAGGUUCCAGGAUGAGAUUCCUAUCAGCAUUACAACAUAGUUAUGAAGAGUUCCUGGCUCCAAUAAACCAGGGAAGAGGACCUGAACCUGUUUGUACAGUGAAACAUCAGAAUACUCGAGUUGUGAAAUUACACAAUGAGUGAUGGUAUCUUUGUAUUAAAACACCUACCACAUUGUGAAGUCUACAGAAAAAACUCUACAAAACUGCAUGAUUAGUGUAUUAUCCUUAGACUUAACAAGCACUGGUUUUCUUCUGCAAUAAAACAUUCUUUACUUA